rnacentral:rRNA from 1 species
GGAGCAUGUUAUUUAAUUCGAUUAUCCCCGAUAAUUUUACCAUAUUUUGAAUAAUUUAUUAAUUUUUUAUUAAUAUAAUUACAGGUGUUACAUUGUUGUCUUUAGUUCGUGUCGUAAGAUUUCAGAUUUAUUUCACUAACGAACGAAACUCCAUAUAUAUACAUUAUAUUAUAUAUAUUAUUAUAUUAUCAUGAUAUAUUUAUAAUUUUUAUAUUAUUAUAUAUUAUGAUAUAUUUAUUUAAAAUAAUAAAAAGGAAUUAAGACAAAUCAUAAUGACCCUUAUAAUAAUGGGCUAUAGACGUGCUAUAUUAAAAUAUGAUAACAAAAUUAUAUAAAAUUUAAUCUUUAAAUUUAAUUAAUAAUAUAAAACAUAUUUAGACAUUCAUAAUUUUUAUUAUGAUAAUGUUAUAUGAAUUAUAAUCUGAAAUUCGAUUAUAUGAAAUAAGAAUUGCUAGUAAUGCGUAAAAUAUUAUGUUACGGUGAAUAUUACUUCUGUUUCGUACUAAUUACUCAUCACGUAUUGAAAUAAAUUAGGAUCAUAAUAUAUUAAUUCUUUUAAUUAAUUUUUUAUUUUACAUAAAUAUUUUAUUUAAUUUUAUUAAUAUCCCUGAACGACG